rnacentral:rRNA from 1 species
UACGGGGGGAGCAAGCGUUGUUCGGAUUUACUGGGCGUAAAGGGCGCGUAGGCGGUCAGCACAAGUCAGUUGUGAAAUCUCCGGGCUUAACUCGGAAAGGUCAACUGAUACUGUGCGACUAGAGUGCAGAAGGGGCAACUGGAAUUCUCGGUGUAGCGGUGAAAUGCGUAGAUAUCAGGAGGAACACCUGUGGUGUAGACAGCUUACUGGACCAUUUCUGACGCUGAGACACGAAAGCGUGGGUAGCAAACAGG